rnacentral:lncRNA from 1 species
AGAAGCAAUAGUCCCACCCUGCUUACGUUCUUGAGUUGCAAACAUCAAACAAGUCAAGGCAAAAACAAAAAGAGAGAGACCAGCCGCACAUAUACCUUGAAGAGGCAGGCUCAUACAUGCAUAUAAGAUUGAAGAGAGGCGCAUAAAAUCUAGGAAAGAAGCAUUUGCAUUCCCAGCUAGGGAGGAGAGUUCUGAAGACUCAAGACUGGCUGAAUCUACUACUACAUUACCAAGAUUAAUUGCAGCCUAAUAGAAAGUGGCUGCAACUAAUAAAUCCCAAAGGAAGAGAGACAACCGAGGUAAGAGAGUGGCCGUCAGCGCUAGAGUGAUGGCGGCCUUGAGCGUGUCGGAGCUAGCUCCUCUGUUUGGGGAGCGGAAGAUCCCAGCGGGUGGUGGAGCUUCGGUGAGUUUGCUGCGAACGACGAGUCCAGCGAGGACCGAGCACUGUCGUG